AACCUAAAAAAUAGGGCUAACCUCAAAAGCAAUUCGAGGAUCGCGCCCCGGAUGUCGCACCGGGUUGUAUGGUUGAGUCAUAGUGGAAACUGAUGACUUAAGUCCAUUGUAUUAAUAACCUUUCGAAGAUUCGUUGAAAUGUACAAAACCUUCAGCAGAUGACGUUAAAUUAUAUAUCGAUUGCUUAACGAGUUCGCUACUAGUUUCACAUAUUUGUGACGGUCGCAAUCCUAUAUUCUACAUCGUGGACAUGAAAUUGAUCCUACAGAUAUUAUUAGAUAUUAUAAACGACAAUAUAUUUAGGAACUCAAUGACUCGUUUCGAUUUCGUUCUAAUAUUUUGUUUAGAUUUAUUCGAUUGAAUAAAAUAUAGAGGAUCGCUACUGAAACAAACGCUGGCGAACGUGUUAAUUAAUAGGAAAACGGGAGACAACACGGUAAUCUAUUGCCGUUUCACUAAUUGAAUCAUUAGCUCGCGACUUGGUCUUCCGAAUAUGAACAUCUGGUCUCGCCGGAAUGGUCAUUCGUCCGCGAAGGGUUAAAUCUCGCGUAAUCUUAUCAUUAUUUAUGAAUGAGAUCGGAAGGUUGAGAGCUCCGCUCGGAGACGCUCGUUAGAGAUACGCGUUGUAAAUACAGGGAAGAGGGUGGACAGGAAGUACGGGGGUAGAAUGCGGGUUUUACAGUCACUAGAACGAAAUCGGGAUACACCAGUGUAUUCUACGGCGCGCACACAUUGAUAGCGUUCGUUCACUGGCAACGGGACGCCUGCGCGAGCCAGCCCUGUCAAUACUGUUUGGGGGAUCCCUCCGUUUCCCUGUUGGAUUGAUACGAGUCAAUGCACGACAGUAUCCAAGCGUGCACGAGAACUUUUUGUUGCCGGCGACCCAGUAUCACCACUGUGUACUCUACUUUUCGGAAUUGAUUUUCCGCGGAAUGAUGCGUUCGGAAAAAUACACGUAGAUGGAUAUAAUAAUGGACUCCGAGCACCUCUCGUAUUCCAUUUCCAUGGGAUUCGGAUUUUGAAAUUUGUUUGUCACUCGAAGUGAUCAGCCACUGAUUGAAACGAAUAAAUAGUAGACUAACUUCAUUAACCUUUCGCCGACAUUUUGGGUGAAAUGUUCAGAUUUGGAACGCUAAGUAACGGAUGAUUUAAUUACUCGAAUAGCCAGAGAGAAUAGAAGAUGUGAACGACUCGAGGCUGAGGAUCUUAGUUGCAGUUAUAUAUUAAGAAUAUAGUAAUGAUAAAAGUGAUAUAAAAAUAUAGUAUUUUUUGUACAUAUUUUGAAUGAAAUAAAUAUUUUUUUUUUAAUUCA